GAACGGGUGAGGAUCACGUGAGAAACGUGCCCCAGACUCUGGGAUAACAAUUGGAAACGAUUGCUAAUACCGGAUGACGUCGGAGAAUCGCAUGAUUCACUGACGAAAGGAAAUCCGGUUUGGGAGGGUCUCGCGGCCUAUCAGCUUGUUGGGGAGGUAACGGCUCACCAAGGCUUCGACGGGUAGCUGGUCUGAGAGGAUGAUCAGCCACACUGGGACUGAGACACGGCCCAGACUCC
rnacentral:rRNA from 1 species